CUCUUAUGAAGAGAGGCGGAGGGACUGGCCCUUUGAUGCCUCGGCAACCAUUGAACUUGUUCAAACGGUGCCAAUUCCAGCAGAUUUCUUUGAAAAUCUGACAGAUAAGAG
rnacentral:ncRNA from 2 species